rnacentral:rRNA from 1 species
UCGAGGGGUAUAGUUCUUCGGAGCUAGAGACCGGCGCACGGGUGCGUAACGCGUAUGCAAUCUACCUUUCACAGAGGGAUAGCCCAGAGAAAUUUGGAUUAAUACCUCAUAGUAUUAUGAAAUGGCAUCAUUUUAUAAUUAAAGUCACAACGGUGAAAGAUGAGCAUGCGUCCCAUUAGCUAGUUGGUAAGGUAACGGCUUACCAAGGCUACGAUGGGUAGGGGUCCUGAGAGGGAGAUCCCCCACACUGGUACUGAGACACGGACCAGACUCCUACGGGAGGCAGCAGUGAGGAAUAUUGGACAAUGGGCGCAAGCCUGAUCCAGCCAUGCCGCGUGCAGGAUGACGGUCCUAUGGAUUGUAAACUGCUUUUGCACAGGAAGAAACAACUCUACGUGUAGAGUCUUGACGGUACUGUGAGAAUAAGGAUCGGCUAACUCCGUGCCAGCAGCCGCGGUAAUACGGAGGAUCCAAGCGUUAUCCGGAAUCAUUGGGUUUAAAGGGUCCGUAGGCGGUUUAGUAAGUCAGUGGUGAAAGCCCAUCGCUCAACGGUGGAACGGCCAUUGAUACUGCUAGACUUGAAUUAUUAGGAAGUAACUAGAAUAUGUAGUGUA